rnacentral:rRNA from 1 species
GCCAGCGACCAUAGGCUCACGGCAAGACCUGUUCCCAUCUCGAACACAGAAGUGAAUCGUGAGCACGAUCUCAGUUUUACUCUCGAAAGAGGGGAAGCUGAGAACGUCGCUGGCA